AGUCGAGCGAUGAGGUCCCUUCGGGGAGUACAUCAGCGGCAGACGGGUGAGUAACACGUAGGUAACCUGCCCUCAAGACGGGGAUAACGCCUGGAAACGGGCGCUAAUACCGGAUGACCUUAGUUGGGGAAGAUCCGAUUAAGGAAAGGCUAUGGCGCUUGAGGAGGGGCCUGCGGCCCAUCAGUUAGUUGGUAGGGUAACGGCCUACCAAGGCGAAGACGGGUAGGGGGUGUGAGAGCACGGCCCCCCACACUGGGACUGAGACACGGCCCAGACUCCUACGGGAGGCAGCAGCGGGGAAUAUUGCGCAAUGGACGGAAGUCAGACGCAGCGACGCCGCGUGGGUGAAGAAGGCCUUCGGGUUGUAAAGCCCUUUUCUGAGGGAAGAGAAAGGACGGUACCUUAGGAAUAAGCGUCGGCUAACUACGUGCCAGCAGCCGCGGUAAGACGUAGGACGCGAGCGUUAUCCGGAUUUACUGGGCGUAAAGCGUGUGUAGGCGGCGUGACAAGUUGGGCGUGAAAGCCCCGUGCUCAACGCGGGGAGGCCGCACAAUACUGUCAGGCUAGAGGGCACCAGAGGGGUGUGGAAUUCCCGGAGUAGCGGUAAAAUGCGCAGAUAUCGGGAGGAACACCGGUGGCGAAAGCGGCACCCUGGGGUGCGCCUGACGCUGAGAGACGACAGCUAGGGGAGCGAACAGGAUUAGAGACCCUGGUAGU
rnacentral:rRNA from 1 species